ACUUGCUGAAUUUAAUCCAAACAGAAUACAGAACAAACUGAAAGAAGUUUUUUCUGCCAUCACACUCGUAGAACAGUAUAAAGAAUUCAGCUAUCUGUACUUUUUUGUAUGUGUGCAAUGUCAUCAAGUCUCAGUCUAGCAUUCAGGUCCUGAUAGAUAAGGAAAAAAGGGAUGAUUUUCAAAUAUGUUGUUUUGGAAAGUAUUUAUUUGUAACUUCUAAGUCUAUCCAUGUAUUUUGUGACAGUCAGAUCCCUGAUGUGGUACUGCUCUCUGAGGGAGUGCGAUAUAUGGAGGGGAUCUGCACAGGAAGUAGGUAUCUCUUGAAUGGGGUGCCUUGAAGCACAACUGCAAGCAUCAUGGAGGAGAGAGAUUGUUCCUCUUCUGGUCUUCUGCAGAGAUCACUAGGGAAUAGCUUUGCUAUCUGGCUUGUCCACUGGUUCCCAAGUUUGGGCCUAAAUGAUUUAAGCUCUUAAAUAGUGUUAUCUAAACCUAUUUAUUAAAAAAAGUCCAUCUCUUACAUUUUUACUUCCGUUAGGGCUGGGCAAUAAAUUCUUAACAAAACUCCUGUAAGGUGGUGGAUUUAAAGCAAACUACCUUUCCUCAUCCCAAUUCUAGGACCCCUGAUAUCAUAGUGGUGAGUACAAUAUAAGAAUAAGAAUAUGAAUAAGAAACUGAAUAACAGUUGUAUUAUGCUAUUUCUUUUAGUAUGAAAAUCAUUUUUCCAUGGAUUUCUGGGAGAGGUUCCACUUUCCCUUUCACUUCCCAUUGCUUUCAUUUGAGAUAUAAAUUAAGGUCUGUCCCUAGAAUCUAAGACAUUUUUAGGGCUCAAUUGUGAGCCUACUGGCACGCUGAAGCAGAGAAAUGCAGACCUGGGAGUCCAGACUUUGCAAGCACUUAACGAAGCUCUCCAGGAGGCCUUGGUUGGACCCAGUGCCUUUCUCCUCCCCACCAUGUUGACUGCAUCCUCCGAGUAGUGCCCCUCAGGCACCGAUGGAACGCUCCAGCAGGCUCAAGGCCUCAUAUAAAAAGAGGCACCAUGAGGGUAAGGAGAAGCACCCUCACAAGAAGACAGACA